rnacentral:rRNA from 1 species
UACGUAGGUGGCAAGCGUUGUCCGGAUUUACUGGGCGUAAAGGGCGUGCAGGCGGUUUGUUAAGUCUAGGGUGAAAGCUCCCGGCUCAACUGGGAGAGGUCCUUGGAUACUGGCAAACUUGAGGGAGGCAGAGGAGAGUGGAAUUCCCGGUGUAGUGGUGAUAUGCGUAGAUAUCGGGAGGAACACCAGUGGCGAAGGCGGCUCUCUGGGCCUUUCCUGGACGCUGAGACGCGAAAGCGUGGGGAGCGAACCGGG